GAUGAACGCUAGCGGCAGGCUUAAUACAUGCAAGUCGAGGGGCAGCAGGACUGUAGCAAUACAGUUGCUGGCGACCGGCAAACGGGUGCGGAACACGUACGCAACCUUCCUUUAAGUGAGGGAUAGCCCAGGGAAACUUGGAUUAAUACCUCGUAAUAUUUGAGAGUGGCAUCACCUUCUAAUUAUAGCUCCGGCGCUUAAAGAUGGGCGUGCGACUGAUUAGGUAGUUGGCGGGGUAACGGCCCACCAAGCCUGCGAUCAGUAACUGGUGUGAGAGCACGACCAGUCACACGGGCACUGCGACACGGGCCCGACUCCUACGGGAGGCAGCAGUAAGGAAUAUUGGUCAAUGGACGCAAGUCUGAACCAGCCAUGCCGCGUGGAGGAUGAAGGUCCUCUGGAUUGUAAACUUCUUUUAUCUAGGAAGAAACCCAUAUUUUCUAGUGUGGUUGACGGUACCAGAUGAAUAAGCACCGGCUAACUCCGUGCCAGCCGCCGCCGUAACAC
rnacentral:rRNA from 1 species